UACGAAGGUGGCAAGCGUUACUCGGAAUUACUAGGCGUAAAGGGCAGGUAGGUGGUUUGGUUAGUCUGUUGUGAAAGCUCCUUGCUUAACGGGGAGAGGUCAACAGAUACUGCCAAGCUUGAGUAUGGGAGAGGGUACUGGAAUUCCUGGUGUAGCGGUGAAAUGCGCAGAGAUCAGGAGGAACACCGAUGGCGAAAGCAGGUACCUGGACCAUUACUGACACUCAGCUGCGAAAGCUAGGGGAGCAAACAGG
rnacentral:rRNA from 1 species